UCCAUCUCUAAAUCCCAAAGAACCCUCAAUUUUUUUUUCUUCCAAUCGAUCUCGCCAAUGGCCAAUAGUAAUCUCCCUCGAAGAAUCAUUAAGGAAACUCAGCGUCUCCUCAGUGAACCUGCACCUGGAAUUAGUGCCUCACCAUCUGAGGAUAAUAUGCGAUAUUUCAAUGUGAUGAUCCUUGGUCCAACAGUCUCCGUAUGAAGGAGGGGUUUCAAGUUGGAACUGUUUUUGCCUGAAGAAUAUCCCAUGGCUGCUCCCAAGGUUCGAUUUCUUACUAAGAUAUAUCAUCCUAACAUUGAUAAACUUGGAAGAAUAUGCCUUGACAUUCUCAAAGACAAAUGGAGCCCGGCUCUUCAGAUUCGAA